UCCCAUGUAGUCUAGAUGGUUAGGAUAUGCGGCUCUCACCCGCACGACCGGGGUUCGAGUCCCCGCGUGGGAAC
rnacentral:tRNA from 1 species